rnacentral:lncRNA from 1 species
AGCAAUCAAAGAGUUUUUCACUCCACAUUUGAGCUCUCCAACGUUUUGCCUCCAAGUUUCCAAGCUUCCAAGUGCUCAAGUGUCUUAGCUUUUCAAAGCUUCAAAAGCUCUACAACUUCUUCUUCUAAUCUUCUUGUUCAUCUUUACAAGUAAGAAGUGUUGUUUGCUUUAAUAUUCCACUCCUCUAAUCACCUCUUGUGUGUGUCCACUUUGGUUGAGAGGGUUGUCUCAAUAGUACCAAAGUGUGAGAGAAUUUUUGAGCUCAACCAUAAAACUCUAGUUUGGUUCUAUAAAGUUUUCGGGAAAACUCUUAGGUCGAAUCUACCUUGAAAGAUUUCUAGGUUUUUAAGAGUUCCUUGAUACUCUAAGGUACUAACUUACCCGUAAAAGUUAGAGGUUCUUAAGAGUGCCCUUGAUACUCUAAGGUGUGAGUCUACCCGUAAAAGACUGGUUCCUAAGCGAAGUAGUCUUAAAGCUUAGAGAGUUUUUUAAGAGUUCCUUGAUACUCUAAGGUACUAACUUACCCGUAAAAGUCAGAGGUUCUUAAAAGUGUCAUUGAUACUCUAAGGUGUGAGUCUACCCGUAAAAGACUGGUUCCUAAGCGAAGUAGCCUUAAAGCUUAGAGAGGUUCUUCAGAGUUUCCUUGAUAUUCUAAGGUUUUGCCAUAACCUUUAGGCUAGUGAAUUCCGACAGUUGGUCGGGACUGGAUUAGCCCUUGUUUGGGUGAACCAGUAUAAAUCUCUUGUGUUGUUCUUUGUUAACUUUAAUUUUAUAUUUUUUAUAAAAACAACUAAACAACACUUAAUUGAAAAAUAUCUCUCUUCCAGUUAUCUGGUCAAAUAUAGAGGUUGACUAUUUUAAGCAGAUCUCUCAUCCAGUUAUCUGGUCAACUAUCUGAGGUUAUAUUAUUUGCCUUAAAUUCUUUCAAGCAUCUACUUAUCAAAUAUAUACAUCCAGUUAUCUGGUCAUUUACUUGCUUAUUAAUAUAUCCAGUUAUCUUGUCAUUACUCUAUAAUACAACUUGUGUUUACAAUAUAACUUAGUACUCAUAUACUACAGUUGUUUGUAAAACACUAUCAAGCAAGUUGACUCAAUAUUCAUAUACUGUAGUAAGCUUCGAAGAGUAAUAAUUACGUUAUUAUAUCAUUCAGAGUUAUAAUAUCCUUAUAUCAUUAUUGUUCAACCAUUUAUUUAUUAAGUGUUUACAGGUAAUUCCGCAAUCAACCUGUAUAAAACGAAAAGAGACUAUUAUCCCCCCUUAUAGCCUCGGAUCACGAUCCAACACUAUUAUAUUGUUACGCUACUGUAGUAUACUCUUAUUCCACCCGUUCCUAUAGUAUGGCGUGUAGUUCUGCUAUAAUGUGUUUACGCUACUGCAUAGUGGCUUAUGCUAAUAUCAGUAUUUACACCGGCAUCUACACGACAUACGUGGCUGCGGACAGGACUUUUAAUCAAUAAUCCAAUCACCCAGGUCGAAUCACAUCGAAUGAGACCUAUUUCCAACAGACAUUCUUUCACAACAAUUUCCUGUAAUUUACCGCUCUUCAUAAUGUCGCGUAUGUUCAUUCCAGCACUGGUUACGUGGAUCUUCCAUAUCUUCUCUUUCAUUGUCCUUUCAAUCCUACCCUUCCUCACGUCUUCCUAAAACAUUUAAUAAUAAUUUUAGCAGAUAAAUAACAUGGAGGUCGAAAAACAAUAAAACUUACAUGUCUUUCUAUUAUCCUUUUCACAAGAGAACUAGAUUUGUGUUUGUUCAACUGGACGGAUAUGGGUUCAUUGUCCAACCUGUCUUCUUCUCCUGAUAAAUCAAUUGUCUUUCUCGGUGUAAUAAAAGUUUCCUCAUUUCCAACUGUACGACUAUUAAAUUGCGAGUUCAUGGGUCUUUCGAAGUUUGGAGUACGACAUGCUUGAGACGCUAAGCGACACGCCUCUUCUAUAAAUACCGGGUCAUCUUGAGACGACAGAACAUAUUCAUGCACAUUAUAUUUGGUACCUAUAAGAAUGUUUCAGAGCACAUUAGAUAUAUUCAAUGUCAUUGUUUAAUUUUUUAUGGAUAUUUACCGCUUGUUGAAGGUAUAUUAACUGUCUCAUUUAUAACUUCAGGUACAUCGAUUUCAAUAUCAGUCAAAUCGAAAAAGAGCUUUAUAGGAGAACCUAAAAAUUCCUUUCUUGUGUUGAAAGGAUCUAAAUAUAUAGGAACAAAGUUCUUGUUAGAUAUUAGUUGGAAAAAAAUUCGGAACAAAUUAAAUGGACAUAAUACCAUCAUGUGUCAGGUCAAUGGUCUUCUUCGUGAAAUUAUCGGUAUAUUCAUAUCCAGUGAACAUUUCAGUCUUCACUUUCACAAACUUAUGCUCAGAUAUUAUUGGAUUUGAUUAUAGAUAUUCAACCUCAUCCGAGC